GACUGCCGGUGACAAACCGGAGGAAGGUGGGGACGACGUCAAGUCAUCAUGGCCCUUAUGUCCUGGGCUACACACGUGCUACAAUGGCCGGUACAGAGCGCAGCGAAGCCGCGAGGCAAAGCGAAUCGCAAAAAGCCGGUCUCAGUACGGAUUGGAGUCUGAAACCCGACUCCAUGAAGUUGGAAUCGCUAGUAAUCGCGCAUCAGCAUGGCGCGGUGAAUACGUUCCCGGGCCUU
rnacentral:rRNA from 1 species